UUUGGGCCUGGGAGCGGUUCCUGCAGUUGCAGCCACCUCUACCACCCUUCGCUCCAGUUGCACCACCUUCCGUUUAUCCCUUUAGCUAGGAGGUGGGUUGAUAGGCGAGGAUAUGGAAGCGAGUACGAGGCUCGACAUCAUCUCCCCUAUUGCAGGGAUUUGUUGGAUUUGCUGGAGGGCGCGCAGUUCAUUUGGAGGCCAUAUAAUGAUGAGCUAAUAGCUUGUUUGCCCGAUUAUUGCUCGACCGGCCGAAUUAUGUGGAGCUCUUCCAUCCCGUUGACAUGUCUCGAUAUUGUCGAGCAUCAUGCCACCGAGCGAGUCCUUCGCCAGUUUGGUCGACCGCAACUUGUACCUCCACCGCCCGCUUGGCAUAGGACAUAUUACCAACGGGAUGAUCGUUCCAGGGUUGACUAGAUAUAUGUGGCAUGGCUAGAGGCACAGAUCGAUAUUUAGGACCAGCGGCAUGACCUGAUUCCGCCCCCUACACCUGACCGGACGGAUGGUGAGCAUGAGUAUAUGGGCUGGUACCGCAGCUUUACCUGACUUUUCAUCGGGAAUCCCGUUCAUCGCGUUGGCGGUCGGCUAUUGGCCUACAUCAUUUCUACUAGUUAGGACUGCAGAUGCAGCAGCAUACCAUCGAGGGAGCGGCCGCUUUGUACAAGUAUGGCCGACAGGUUACAGAUCUGGCUUCUCGUACAUUGAGGCGAGCCCGAGAUAAUGAACGCUUAGGAUACGAGGCUGAUUAUGUGGCGCCAGAGCAGUACCAUCGUGGACUAGCAGCGGAGCUGAAACAUGGUCGAUGUGGCAAGCGUGCCCAGAGAGGUAGGGGUGUCCCACGAGGUCGUGGGGAUCGGCGAUAAGAUGGUCCCCAACAAGGGGGCAUGAGGCACAUGUUGAGGAUGUUUGAGUUGAUCAGACGGGUGACCACCAUGAGCCAGACCAUGCUCCUAGUGUCAUUCAGCCUUCAGCUUACUUCAGGGACUUCGCAGGUGACUCCAUUAACUCCAUUAUUGAUCGCGGGCAUGACCAUUACGCGACAAGAGUAGGAUCAGUAUUUUUCUGGUCCUCCAGAGCCAUCAGCGGUUGCUGAUAAUAGUCCGAUACGAGAUGUGGAUAGUGGGCGCCAACUGAGUUAUGGCUUAUCAUCGAGGGAUGCUGAGGAUCUUUUACAGGCGCAAGUUUUUUUGUAUUACUAUUAUUUAUAUUUGUUUUUAUCUCAUUGAUUAGUCAUAAAUAUUUACAGCAGUUUUUUGAAGGCAUCAUCCUCGCCUGUCACGGAGGCUACUUUGUGCGAUACUGACAUGGCUAAGACGGAUGAUUAUAUUCAGGAGCCCGUCAAGACCUUGGUUACUAUUGGACCGACGACCCCUUAUACCGAGCUUACUAGUCUUACUGACGAUCAUGUUGCAACACAUCCUCCGAUAAAGAUGCGACGUGAUGAGGAUGAUCCUGAUAGCGUAGCCGGGCGGGAUGGGAUGCGCCUUAGGCCAACGGCUGCUUUAAAGCAUAUUGGAUAUGGGACACAUUGACUUUUUUGAUUUUUGGUACAUAUGACAUUCAGUAAAAUAAUAGCAACAUUAUUUAUGGUUA